rnacentral:rRNA from 1 species
UACAGAGGUCUCAAGCGUUGUUCGGAUUCAUUGGGCGUAAAGGGUGCGUAGGCGGCGCGGUAAGUCGGGUGUGAAAUCUUGGAGCUUAACUCCGAAACUGCAUUCGAUACUGCCGUGCUUGAGGACUGGAGAGGAGACUGGAAUUUACGGUGUAGCGGUGAAAUGCGUAGAUAUCGUAAGGAAGACCAGUGGCGAAGGCGGGUCUCUGGACAGUUCCUGACGCUGAGGCACGAAGGUCCAGGGGAGCAAACGGG